AGAAAGAAUCACAAUCAAAUCCAGUUACUAUGCUUGGUAGCCACCGUGAAAAUUGGGGAGAGACCAAUGUUGCCGAUGGCAGUCCUAGAACUGAUACCUCAACAGAUGACACAGAUGACAAAAAUCAAAAGAGUGAAAGAGGACAGUCAACUGCAGUCAUGGCAUCUGAUUCUAGUGACAAAUCAAAGGAAAAGUCAGGGGAUCAAAAGACAUUGCGCAGACUUGCUCAAAAUCGUGAAGCUGC
rnacentral:misc_RNA from 1 species